UACGUAGGGUGCAAGCGUUAAUCGGAAUUACUGGGCGUAAAGCGUGCGCAGGCGGUUAUGCAAGACAGAUGUGAAAUCCCCGGGCUCAACCUGGGAACUGCAUUUGUGACUGCAUAGCUAGAGUACGGUAGAGGGGGAUGCAAUUCCGCGUGUAGCAGUGAAAUGCGUAGAUAUGCGGAGGAACACCGAUGGCGAAGGCAAUCCCCUGGACCUGUACUGACGCUCAUGCACGAAAGCGUGGGGAGCAAACAGG
rnacentral:rRNA from 1 species